UACGUAGGGUGCGAGCGUUAAUCGGAAUUACUGGGCGUAAAGCGUGCGCAGGCGGUGAUGUAAGACCGAUGUGAAAUCCCCGGGCUUAACCUGGGAACUGCAUUGGUGACUGCAUCGCUCGAGUAUGGCAGAGGGGGGUAGAAUUCCACGUGUAGCAGUGAAAUGCGUAGAGAUGUGGAGGAAUACCGAUGGCGAAGGCAGCCCCCUGGGCCAAUACUGACGGCUCAUGGCACGAAAGCGUGGGGAGCAAACAGG
rnacentral:rRNA from 1 species